UACGUAGGGGGCUAGCGUUGUCCGGAUUUAUUGGGUUUAAAGGGUGCGUAGGCGGCUUUUUAAGUCAGUGGUGAAAGACAACAGCUCAACUGUUGCAGUGCCAUUGAUACUGAAGAGCUUGAGUACAGAUGAGGUAGGCGGAAUUUAUGGUGUAGCGGUGAAAUGCAUAGAUACCAUAAAGAACACCUAUUGCGAAGGCAGCUUACUAAGCUGUAACUGACGCUGAGGCACGAAAGUGUGGGGAUCAAACAGG
rnacentral:rRNA from 1 species